GAUGAACGCUAGCUACAGGCUUAACACAUGCAAGUCGAGGGGAAACGACAUUGAAGCUUGCUUCGAUGGUCGUCGACCGGCGCACGGGUGAGUAACGCGUAUCCAACCUGCCUCUGACCAAGGGAUAACCCGUCGAAAGUCGGCCUAAUACCUUAUGCAGUCGUCGGAAGUCAUCUGAUGACGACGAAAGAUUUCAUCGGUGAGAGAUGGGGAUGCGUCUGAUUAGCUUGUUGGCGGGGUAACGGCCCACCAAGGCAACGAUCAGUAGGGGUUCUGAGAGGAAGGUCCCCCAGAAUGGAACUGAGACACGGACCAAAAUGGUACGGGAGGCAGCAGUGAGGAAGAUUGGGGAAUGAGCGAGAGCCUGAACCAGCCAAGUAGGGUGAAGGAUGACGGCCAUAUGGGAUGUAAACUGCUUGGAUGCGGGGAUAAAGUGAGGGACGUGUCCUUCAUUGCAGGUACCGAAUGAAUAAGGACCGGCUAAUUCCGUG
rnacentral:rRNA from 1 species